rnacentral:rRNA from 1 species
CCUACGGGCGGCAGCAGUGAGGAAUAUUGGUCAAUGGACGAGAGUCUGAACCAGCCAAGUAGCGUGAAGGAUGACUGCCCUAUGGUUUGUAAACUUCUUUUAUAUGGGAAUAAAGGUUUCCACGUGUGGGUUUUUGUAUGUACCAUAUGAAUAAGGAUCGGCUAACUCCGUGCCAGCAGCCGCGGUAAUACGGAGGAUCCGAGCGUUAUCCGGAUUUAUUGGGUUUAAAGGGAGCGUAGGUUGAUUUUUAAGUCAGUUGUGAAAGUUUGCGGCUCAACCAUAAAAUUGCCGUUGAAACUGGAAGUCUUGAUUGUAGUUGAGGUAGGCGGAAUGCGUGGUGUAGCGGUGAAAUGCAUAGAUAUCACGAAGAACUCCGAUUGCGAAGGCAGCUCACUAGACCACAACUGACACUGAGGCACGAAAGUGUGGGUAUCAAACAGGAUUAGAUACCCCAGUAGUC